UCGCUGCUAUAUGCCCUUGUAUCAGUAUGUUUGUGUUUUCUCUCAUGUUUUUUUACCCCUUUAAUCCAAACAAAUUAUAUGCUAGGAUAGUAGGAUUCAAGUUAAAAAUUCCUUCCCAAAAUGAAGAAAGAUCUUUAUAUUUUUAAUGGCUUACCUUUUCUUUUCUUUUAAAAUGAAAUGAUCUUUAUAUUUUACUGGCUUACCGUCUUCCACUCUAUCUACUCCUGAGAGUCUGAAUCACGGACACACAAAAGAAAGAAACUCAACGCAGAGAGAGAGAGAGAGAGAGAGAGGGAGAGAGGGAGAGCAGAAGAAUGGCAAUGGUGUCAUGGAACCUAGGUGCAUAUCAGAAGGUGUGACCUUAAUCACCAAUUCACAGAGACACCAGCACUUCAUGUAACAUGCAGAAAGAAAGAAACGGACAGAGAUCAUUCCUACCCUUAUAAAGUCAUUGAAAUCACACCUCCUCCAAAGAACCUCGGAAUUCGUUGCUUUCCCACUGUAUGUUUUUCCCCCCCUUUGUUUCUGUUAUCUUCUGGUUUUUUAAUGGUAUUUCCUAUCUGGGUUUCUCGUGACUUGAUAAAAUAGAGGAAAAUGCAAUACAGUUGAGAAUUAUUAUUAUAUGAUGUUUUGUUGCAUUUCCUAUCCGGGUUUCCUGUGACUUGAUAAAAUAGAGGAAAAUGCAAUACAAUUAUGAAUUAUUAUUUUAUGAUGUUUUUGUGGUAUUUCCUAUCUGGGUUUCUUGUAACUUGAUAAAAUAGAGGCAAAUGCAAUACAGUUGAGAAUUAUUAUUAUAUGAUGUUUUUAUGGUAUUUCCUAUCUGGGUUUCUUGCCUAAUCCUUCCCAUAGAGGAAGUUUUGGUGUUGAUUAUAUGGGGGAAAGAGGUUCUGAUGUUUAUCCUCGGGUCCUCACUCCUGUCCAGCUCCCUGACACUACUUGCUUGCAAUCAAAUUAUAGUCAGAAAUCUCCGAGAUUAUGACCUUAUAAUGACACUACAAACGAAAAGGCCAUGUUAGGUCUUUCAUAGAAGAAAAAAGAUAAAGAGAACCCAACAUCAAGUUUGAAUGGAUAUAUAUGGAAAGCUAGAGCAAAGAAAAGUUGGAGGUCGCAACAUAGAUAAAGGAAUCAUCUGUUCCACAAAUGGGGGCUCCCCAUAAGGACAUGUCUUUAUAACUGAAGACAUUACAGCAUGUUGGAUGAGGCUGGGGAAAAAGUUCAGAGACAUUAUUGUUUGCAGAUCACAUUAUUGUUUGAAGGGUAUUGGUUUUUCAAUCACUAAAGACUCGUUGUUCUCUCCUUGCUGAUUUUAACUUCUUGUAUUGGGAUAAAUCCCGUGUUCUGUAUGUCCUCUGAACUGGGAAAAGACUGAUGGUUACGGUAUGGGGCCAAGUUACGAAACAAUGAGCCGUAAAUGUCAAAUGUACCUAUAUGAUUUCUAAUAGAAGAAACCAAAAUGCAGACCCUUCCUUUUGGUCUGUGUACACUAAAACAGAAACUUAACUCCAGUGUUCUGUCUGUCUGUAAUCAUCCUGUCGCAUGUUAGUGUCAUUAUUCGACCUCAGGGAUAGAAUCGGAUGAAUUUGAUGUUGGUGUUGUGGGUCAAA